UACGGAGGGUGCGAGCGUUGUCCGGAAUCACUGGGCGUAAAGGGCGCGUAGGCGGCGCGGGCAGUCAACGGUGAAAGCUCGGGGCUCAACCCCGAGUCGGCCGUCGAUACUCCCGUGCUUGAGCACUGUAGAGGCAGAUGGAAUUCCGGGUGUAGCGGUGGAAUGCGUAGAGAUCCGGAAGAACACCGGUGGCGAAGGCGGUCUGCUGGGCAGUAGCUGACGCUGAGGCGCGAAAGCGUGGGGAGCAAACAGG
rnacentral:rRNA from 1 species